rnacentral:rRNA from 1 species
UACGUAGGGUGCGAGCGUUAAUCGGAAUUACUGGGCGUAAAGCGUGCGCAGGCGGCUAUUUAAGCUUGCUGUGAAAGCCCCGGGCUUAACCUGGGAACUGCAGUGAGGACUGGAUGGCUGGAGUGUGGCAGAGGGGGGUGGAAUUCCACGUGUAGCAGUGAAAUGCGUAGAGAUGUGGAGGAACACCGAUGGCGAAGGCAGCCCCCUGGGCUAACACUGACGCUCAGGCACGAAAACGUGGGGAGCAAACAGG